rnacentral:rRNA from 1 species
AAUCAACGCUGGCGGCGUGCCUCAGACAUGCAAGUCGAACGCGAAAGCCCUUCGGGGUGAGUAGAGUGGCGCACGGGUGAGUAACACGUAGGUAAUCUACCUUUGGGUGGGGAAUAACGACCGGAAACGGUCGCUAAUACCGCAUAAUGCAGCGGCACCACAUGGUGACAGUUGUUAAAGACGGGGGAGUCGUAAGACCUCGCGCCUGGAGAUGAGCCUGCGGCGGAUUAGCUAGUUGGCAGGGUAACGGCCUACCAAGGCGACGAUCCGUAGCCGGCCUGAGAGGGCGGACGGCCACACUGGCACUGACAUACGGGCC